rnacentral:rRNA from 1 species
UACGUAGGGGGCAAGCGUUGUCCGGAAUCAUUGGGCGUAAAGCGCGUGUAGGCGGCCCGGUAAGUCCGCUGUGAAAGUCCAGGGCUCAACCCUGGAAUGCCGGUGGAUACUGUCGGGCUCGAGUCCGGAAGAGGCGAGUGGAAUUCCUGGUGUAGCGGUGAAAUGCGCAGAUAUCAGGAAGAACACCCGUGGCGAAGGCGGCUCUCUGGGACGGUACUGGCGCUGAGACGCGAAAGCGUGGGGAGCGAACAGG